CGCCAAAAAAUCCCGGUGAACUCAUUAAAGUCAUGACACGUGUAUGAGGAUUUGGUGAUAUUAAUCAAAGGUGGUCGCCUCCGUGACAUCCUCCGGCCGUUUUUGGACAGACAUCAGCCAUGUUUGCCGCCGCAACGACUGCAGCCAUUUUCGCGUCAAGUCCUGCCACUCGCAAUCCCAGUCGCUUGCCCACAAGAAAACCCAGAAAUCCAUUCUUUCUCAGGAAUUUGUUCGCUUCUUCUUCAAGUUCAAGAUCGUCUCUUUUCGGUCGCACAUUCUUCAUCACGAACCGAUCGAUUCAUGGAUCCGCCAGGCGAAGGUCGCUCUCCACCACAGGCAUUAUACCUUUCUCUCCUGUCAUGGAAUGGCAGGACUGCACGGUUAAGAUGGAGAUCGACGUACCUAUUUCUGUGGCAUAUGAAUGUUACUCCGAUCGUGAAUCAAUUCCUCGUUGGAUGCCUUUUAUUUCUUCUGUAAAGACAUUGGAGGAUAAACCUGAUUUAUCAAGGUGGUCUCUAAAGUAUAAAGCCUUCGGUCGGGACAUUGAAUACUCUUGGCUUUCUCGAAAUAUGCAGCCAAUCCCAAACCAGAAAAUCCACUGGAGAUCUCUAGAAGGUCUUCCGAACAGAGGAGCUGUUCGGUUUUAUCCAAAAGGUCCAUCUUCCUGCGUAGUAGAAGUAAGACUGCACAAAGCAUUAUCCUGUAUUUGAUGUCUUAAUGCCGAUGUGUGCUUUGCUAUGAAUCUGAUGGUUUCUUAUGAGGUGCCUCAACUUUUGGUUCCUGUGGCAAAUGCGCUGCAGCCUUUUCUGGAGAGCUUACUGCGACGUGGUUUGGAACGCUUUGCAGUGUUAGCUAAGAGCUACUAAGAAAACUGAAAAUACCUAAUUAUCCAACAAACAUUUGCGGAAUGUAUCAUUCUGGAUGCUUACAUGCUGGGUCGUUUCCAUAUAGGAGCAUCCGAACCAUUCUUAAUAGAAACCAUCUGUAUUCUUUGCCGCGUGAACUACAUUCAUUCGCGCAACUGUGUUGUACUUCCAUUCUUUCAAUAUGCGAAUUAUGAUAUUCAUACA